rnacentral:rRNA from 1 species
GAAACCGUGGAAACACGGUCCUCCCGCAAGGGACGCUAGUACAGGUGGUGCAUGGCUGUCGUCAGCUCGUGUCGUGAGAUGUUGGGUUAAGUCCCGCAACGAGCGCAACCCUUACCUUAGUUGUUUCCCGAAAGGAUUACCCUCGUAAGGGACUGCCCGACAACGGGAGGAAGGUGGGGAUGACGUCAAGUCCGCAUGCUCCUUACGUCUAGGGCUACACACGUCCUACAAUGGGGUCGACAGUGGGAUGCAAAGCCGCGAGGUGGAGCCAAUCCCCAAACGGCCUCUCAGUUCGGAUAGUAGUCUGCAACUCGACUACUUGAAGUCGGAAUCGCUAGUAAUGGCGGAUCAGCAUGCCGCCGUGAAUACGUUCCCGGGUCUU